AACGCGAAGAACCUUACCUGGGUUGAACUACGCAGGAAAAGCCGUAGAGAUACGGUGUCCGCAAGGGCCUGCGAUAGGUGGUGCAUGGCUGUCGUCAGCUCGUGUCGUGAGAUGUUGGGUUAAGUCCCGCAACGAGCGCAACCCUUGUCCUAUGUUGCCAGCGGGUAAUGCCGGGGACUCGUAGGAGACUGCCGGGGUCAACUCGGAGGAAGGUGGGGACGACGUCAAGUCAUCAUGCCCCUUACGUCCAGGGCUGCACACAUGCUACAAUGGCCGGUACAAAGGGCUGCUAUUCCGCGAGGAUGAGCGAAUCCCAAAAAGCCGGUCUCAGUUCGGAUUGGAGUCUGCAACUCGACUCCAUGAAGUCGGAGUCGCUAGUAAUCCCGGAUCAGCAACGCCGGGGUGAAUACGUUCCCGGGCCUUGUA
rnacentral:rRNA from 1 species